CCAGGCUGGGCCCGCCCCCCACAGCCUCCGCGUGACCUCUAGCUCCCACGUGUCCUCACAGGUGGCCCCUUUGCUCUGAGCCUGCAGUCCCCAAUUCUGUCCCUGACUGGGGCCUCAGGCGCCCCCAGCCCCUCUAUUCUCAGCCCUUCAUCACCCCAAGCUUAAGUCCUCUCCCUGGGAGCCCCCUGUCCACCAGCCCCGUGUCCUGCCUGGAUACCACCACCGCCCUGAACUGUCUCUCCGCCUCCCCUUUGGCUGCCUUUUGGCCCGUUUCAUCACUCAGCAGCCAGAGUGGAACAUCUCAAGCAUCCAUCAGACCACAACACAGCCCUGCAGAGUUCAAAAGCUUCCCAGCAGCCGUGGAACAGAGCACAGGGCCCUGUGAGCUAGAUGCUGCCUGCCUGUCUGUCCUCAUCUCCUGCUGCCUGCCUCGCUCCUCCCUCCAGCCACACUGGCCUCGGGGCUAUUUGACAGGCCAGGCUCACAGCCACCAUGGGGCCUUCGCUCUGGCUGUCCCCUUGGCCUGUCUUGAGGUCUUCCUCGCGCCCUUGCUUCACGCGAGUCCCUGCUCAAAUGUCAUCUUUGAAGGACUUCCCUGUCCUGCCUGCCUCUCCAGUCACUCUCGGCUCCUCUCUGUGCUUUAUUCUCCAUGGCAGUGAUCACCUGACACAAUACCGUCUGUAAUGUCACCUCUGUUUUCACUAUCUUUUGCUGCUGUCUUGCUGGUGCCUGGCACAGUGCCUGGCCCACUUUAGCUAUCAUUUAGUAAACUACUUAUUUGUAAAUACUUAAUAUUUAUAUUAAAUAUUUAGUAAAUAAUAGCCAUUUAGUAAAUACAUAAUUGUUCAACGAAUGAAUGAAUGAAUACACACUCCUCUUUCCCUCCAAAGGGGCAUGAAGUUCCAUGCUCACUCCAUGCUCGAGGGCAGUAAGCAUUGUGGGGUGGGAGUCAUGGGGCCAGGCUUCUUGAUGCACUGUGUGACCCUGAGUGAGUCAUAUAGCGGCUGAUUUCUAGUUGUAGGAAUAGUGAAUGAGAAAGUAUUUAACUAUAUAGACAUAAAACUCUGAAUGAGGUAUAAACUGGGUUUGAAUCCUGGCUCCACCACCUGCCAGCUGUGUGACCUUGGGCAAUGUACCUAACCUCUCUGUGCUUCUGUUUCCUCAUCUUUGAAAUGGGACUAAAACAGCUCCGUUGAAUCAGUCAGGUUCUUGGUCUCAAUCCAGAAUCCUAAUGGGCUACGAGGGUUCUCUCACAGGCUCAAAAGGAAGGUGGAGAGCCCAAAACCAAGCUGAGCAGGCCACAGGAAAAAAAAUCCUCUGGAACGUGCUCCUGGCACAGCCAGCUCUGGACCUUGGGGCCACAGACCCUGCCGGCCUUCCCUGAGGAGACAGACUCCCAGGUGGGUGCCUCUGACGGCUGAGGCUCAGGUCCCAGCCAGGCCAGGAAGCAGACGGAGGCUGGCCCCAGGUCCCAUGGAGGGGAGCCCAUCCCAGCGCAGGCCGGGGCUGCGUGAGGGUUAAGGCUUCAUGCAGAACUCUCGUGCCCCGCUGGUGGCAACCCUGGGAAGGUGUCUGGUGGAAUCCACUGGAGUUAGCAUAUGCUCUCCUACCACCCAGUGGUGCCAAAUGGGUGCGUGUGUCCACCAGAAGGUGUGGGCGACAAUGUCGAUGGCAGCGCUAUGCAGAAUGGCCCCAACCGGAAAACACAAAGUGCCCGUCCACAGUGGAUGCUCGAGAAAAGAAGCACCUGGAACUCUAUACAGCCGUGAGAAAGCAAACCACAGCCCCGGAGCCACCGCGGAUAACUGACCAACACGCCACAGGGAGGAAGCCAGCGCGACGCCAGGUCAGCCGUGUGAGGUUGCACCCCGCUCAAAGCCCGGUACAAGGAGCGGGCACUGUCAGAAGCCAGGAGGGGGUCCCUCGAAGGGUGGAGACAGAGCGUCGGGGGCUGUGAACGGUCACUCUCCUGAUCUGGGCACCGGCGGGCCCUGCGUGUCCACUUUGUGAAGCGUCCUUGAGUUCUUCACUUACGAGUCCGUAUUUUCCUCUAGGCUGGUUACGCUUCAAUAAAAGUAACAAAAGGGUUUAAGAAAAAAACUAAUCCAUGGGAAGCGUUUGGGGUUGUGCCCAGCCCGUGGUGGGAGCUGAAUCAAUGUUAGGUCCUUGUUGCCACCCGUGUCCUGUCGCUGGUGGGUCUCUCUCACCCUCCAUUCCCCCUCCCCAUCCCCCAGGCUGGAAGAGACCCCAGCGUUCGCGGCCCUCAGAUCUGUGUGCAGACAGAGCAGGUGCCGCCAGCCCAGGGCUCCCGGCCCUUGUGGAGCUGGGGACAGACUCCUGGGUCAGCACUUCAGCUCAUUCAUCAGGGAAUCGGCCAGUUACCUUAGGGCCAGGAGGGGAGCAAGUCCUCAGAUGAAGGGCUGGCGAGCAGCUGAGAGCAGGUGUGGACACAGGGCAGGUUAUGGGAGCCAGGCCCCGUGAGCCGGGCAUGGGCCGGAGUCCGUCCUGAGGAUGGCAGGAAGCCAGUGUGCGUCUGGGGGCGGGAGGGGCACGAGGGAGGGUGGUCACGUGUCCAGUUGUGCCCCCUGGCUUUGGUGUGGAGAAUGAGUGAAAAGGGAGAAAAACAAAUUCCAGGAGCCCGAUUAGGAGCUUUGGUGGCCGAGAGCAGGUCAGGGUGGGACGUGGAGAUGGGGAGAAGUGGAGGACUGGUGGGACAUUCUGGGGUUAGAAGGGCCAGGGCCUGGGGGUUGGCGUCCAGAGGGGACGGAGGCGUGGGAAGGGUGAGGCAGGCCCCGCCCAGGGUGGGGCAGCCUGUGGACACAGGGCCCUGCUCCGUGGGUCCAGGAGGAGCAGGAUGGGGGCGGGCUGAGAGUCAGGUUUGGGAGCAGAGUAGGAAGAUCCGAGAGCCGUGGACAAAGCCUGUGGAGGUUGGUCAGGGAGGGAAGGGGAGCCGUGUGCAGAGAGCUGUGUGCAGGGAGGCCGCCAGGUUGGGGAGGGUGGGCCCUGCCCGGAGGGUUUCUGCAGCUCAGUGGAAGGUCGGGCAGGGGUGACAAGGGGUGGUACACAGAGUGGGCUGGGGCCAAGGAUGACAGAUGCGGGGCCUGGAGGGCUGAGCUAGUCCGUAAAUUUCCAAAACAGUGACCUGGGCAAUGGUAAAUGGGGGUCCCUGGCCUCUGGGGAGGAGGGACCGCAGUCCAGGGUGCUGUGCCUGAGACCACAGGGUGGGUCCUGUGUGGAGCCCUUGUGCGGUCUCCAACGCAUCGAAGGGGCUGAGCAGCAAUGACAAUAACAACAGUGACAGCAGCUGUGCUAGACUCUACGACUGCUCGGCUGUCUGUUGGCUCUCGGGGGGGCCUGGCGCUCCCCUCACCUUUGACGUCAGGCUUGGCUGCCUGCUUGCUUUGCUCAAUGCCCUGAGCAUGAGCGAGUUGCCCCACUUCUAAGAAGAAACUUCUAGAGUCACGGGAAGGUGCUGCUGUGUUUACUUCUCUCUGCUGGGAGACCAGCCGUGUCCCAGAUGAGGGCGGUUCCUUUAACCUGGGUCACGGGGUGGAGCUGACUUGGUGCAGAGCUGCAUCCAACCCAUGGCAGACACGUCGUGUGAACAAGAAAGAAACCUUGUUGUAGGCCGCUAGGAUUCGGGAGCUGUUUGUCACUGCAGCAUAACACAGCCUCAGCUGACCGCUACAGCGACGCCCGGACUUGCGUGUUACCUCUGCCCCAGGCACCGUGAGGUUAAUCCUAAAACAACUCUGCCAGCAAAAGCAGCAAAGGGGCACACCGUGUUAUUCCACGUAUAUAAAAUUCUAGACAACGUAAACUAGUCUAUAGUGACAGGAAGCAGAUCAGUGGCUGCCUAGGGACCGGGUAGGGAAGAGGGGGGCCAGAGGGAGGGACUGAAAGGGGCACAAGGACUCUUUUGGGGUGAUGGAUCUAAUUGUGGAGACGGUUUGUCACAGCCAGGACACAGAGCCUGACACUUAACAGCCACUGACCACACCCCAAAAUUAUCCCCAAAAUUACCAGUGAUGGACAUGGGGUCUGGCCUAACCCUUUCCUGAAACCUCCGGCCGGGUGCAGACCCAGGCCCCCCAGAAGCCUGGAAUGGGCUUCGGUGACCACCAGGCCCAUGGCCCCACUUCUCCCGUGGACAGCCAGUCUCGGGGGCCACGUCCUGUGCAGAUCUGAGUGCCAGGGAGAGGACAGACCUGUCUCCUGUGACCUCAGCCAAGGCAGGUGGGCCUCUUCUCAAAAGAGCCUGGGGCCAUGCUGGGCUGGUGGAGGCCUCAGCCUCCAGAGGGCUCCAAGGAGGCCAGUUCCAGGAAUGCUGCAGCCUGAGGGUCCCCUAGGUCCCUGAGCUGGAAGGCGCCAGCCUGUCUGGUGUCUGGGGUUUCACAGAAGGGAAUUCUAGAAAUGGUCUCAGGCUGUCGGAGCUAGAGGAGGAAGCUCCGGGAGGCGAGAGGAGAUGAAACAGGUCUCCAGGGCCCAGGAGGGUGAGGCCCCCAAGGCGGGUGGAAGGACGUCUUGAUUUUCUCUCUGAUGCUGGAGGUGGGGGAGGCUGUGAUGCGGGUGUGGGGUGAGAGGUGGCCUGCUCUAGGUGAGCCAGGUGGGGAGGGGACGGAGGCUGGCCCGGGAGAGGCCUAGGGGCUGAGGAAGACUGCAGGGCCCUGCUGGGUGAGGUGGUUGAGUGGUGGCCCUGGAGAAGAUAUGUCCCCGUCCUAACCCCCAGAGCCAGCGAAUGGGGGCUCAUUUGGGAAGAGGGUGUUUGUGUCAUCAAGUUAAGGAUCUGGGACGAGAUCAUCUUGGAGUGCUCGGGCGAGCCCCAACGCCUGGUACAAGCGUCUUUGUAAGAGAUGCACAGCGGAGAAGCCCACAUCACCACGGAGGCAGAGGUGGGAGUGCUGCAGCCACAGGCCACGACGCCUGGCACCCCCAGGAGCUGGCAGAGGCACGGAACGACCUGCCCCGCAGGCUCCGCCGGGAGCGUGGCCCUGACAACCCUGGGUUUCAGACUUCUGGCCCCAGACGCAGCUCUCUGAGGGAUUGUCCCCGUUUGACAGUGAGGAGGUGAAGGCUUGGGGUCCGUCACCACCUGGGGUCAGUUGCCCAGCGUUAUUUUAAUGGUUUGGUGGUCGCUGCAGAAAUAGUAUACGUUUGUUCCAUCAGUUUGAAGCAGACACCAGUGCCUAAGGAUGAAUGGUUGUCUCUGGAAUCCCACCGCAUCAAGUCGACCUGAGCCCCAUCUGGGUAAUCAUUUGGCAGGCUGGGAACUGAUUGCAGCGCUCAUCUGUGACCUCCCGGCUCGAGGCAACACACCUGCCACUCUGCGGCGUUCACUGAGAUGGCAGACCUAUCUGUCGUUUCCAUCAAUCGCUGUGCUGACGGAGCAGCCUCGUGACUAUUGUGGGAGGGACAUUUCAAUCAUAUGUGAAACACCCUCUUUGAGGGUAUGUAACCACACUGUGUACCCCACUUGUUUGGAGUGCUCUGUUCCUUUGUGGAAAGACUCUCCAGGGUUAUAAUCCUCAGAUUUAAGCUCAGAAUAAACUC